AACCCCGCGCGCUCCGGGCAGUCGCUACCAAUCGACAGGGGAGCAUCGAUGCGAAGGGGCGGGGCUGCGCGCCGGCCGGCGCCGCGGCGGUGGGGCGGUGAGCCAGCUCGGCGUCGGCGUUUCCCGCCUGGCCGCCGGGGAAGCCUACGGGCGGCGAGGCGAGGCGGGCUUUCGGCGCGCGUUCAUCCCGGGCCCGCCUCCCCACAGAAGGAAGCUUCUCCCCGGGCCGGUCUCCCGAGUGGCCCGAAGGUUUGGAACCUGCGGAGGCCCACGGAGCUCUGAACCGAGGCUUGAGCUUCGGACAAGUAUUUCCAAUAUCCCAUCCUGAUAUUAUGGGAGCACACCAAUCUCUAUAUGGUCAUUAAACUCACUCAGUCAUCUCAUGUUGCAUGAAGCAAUCAGACUACCUGUGGAAAUGAAGAACGAAGUGGAAGCCAGCAACUGAGGGCAGUGACACCAGCCAGUUUCUGCUGUGUGGUCAGAGCAGUGUAUAAAGAUAAAG